CGAACGGGUGAGUAAUACAUCGGAACGUGCCCAGUAGUGGGGGAUAGCCCGGCGAAAGCCGGAUUAAUACCGCAUACGACCUACGGGUGAAAGCGGGGGAUCGCAAGACCUCGCGCUAUAGGAGCGGCCGAUGUCAGAUUAGCUAGUUGGUGGGGUAAAAGCCUACCAAGGCGACGAUCUGUAGCUGGUCUGAGAGGACGACCAGCCACACUGGGACUGAGACACGGCCCAG
rnacentral:rRNA from 1 species